rnacentral:rRNA from 1 species
AUUGAACGCUGGCGGAAUGCUUUACACAUGCAAGUCGAACGGCAGCACGGACUUCGGUCUGGUGGCGAGUGGCGAACGGGUGAGUAAUGUAUCGGAACGUGCCCAGUCGCGGGGGAUAACGUAGUGAAAAUUACGCUAAUACCGCAUACGAUCUACGGAUGAAAGCGGGGGAUCGCAAGACCUCGCGCGAUUGGAGCGGCCGAUAUCAGAUUAGGUAGUUGGUGGGGUAAAGGCCCACCAAGCCAACGAUCUGUAGCUGGUCUGAGAGGACGACCAGCCACACUGGAACUGAGACACGGUCCAGACUCCUACGGGAGGCAGCAGUGGGGAAUUUUGGACAAUGGGCGAAAGCCUGAUCCAGCCAUUCCGCGUGCAGGAUGAAGGCCCUCGGGUUGUAAACUGCUUUUGUACAGAACGAAAAGGUUUCUACUAAUACUAGGAGCUCAUGACGGUGCUGUAAGAAUAAGCACCGGCUAACUACGUGCCAGCCGCCGCAGUAA